GGAAAUGUCAGGCUUUCUCGGCUCCCAGGUGCAUGAAGCAGGGACAUCCAAGAGGAUGAUGGCAGCUCACUUCUUGCUGCAAUUCCUCCUCUUCGGGACUCUGCUUGUCCCUGCGUACCUGCAGAUGGAAGGAUGUGAGUUUGUCAAGGAUCUCUCAGUUGAGAGCAAUUUCUCAGUGACCGUGACGCCCAAGGAGUACAUGGCCAACACAAACUACCAGGUUACGAUAAGUGAUGAAGGAAACCACACUGCUGACAGAAAUGUGACCAUGUAUUUACUUCAAGCCUUGUCCCCUGAAAAUACCACUGCAGGAACAUGGAACUUAACAGUCGUGCUAAACUGCAGUGAUGUUGAGACAGCAAUGUUAAAUGCCUCCGAAGAUCUGUUGGCAACAGCAAACUGGACAUCUCCAAGCAGUAACAUAUCUUCCGUGGAAAUAAGGGUAUACAUAAUCUUUGACAACACUUCCACCGAGUUCAAGAGUGUGACUCUGCAGGAAGUUCCACAAACAGAUCCAACCACACCCUCGACAACCACCGACUCCGUCUCCGCAAUCCAGAGCAGCUUCUUCUUCAUCGCCAUCACUCAGCUGCUGAUGCUCCUCACUACAAGCAAACUGCUCUCUUAGGAGAUGGGGAGAGGAGAUGACCCAGCUGUGCUGCUCCUCUCCUCACCCACAGUGAAUCUAAAUAAACCAAAGAAUAAAAGCUGGCUGUUGCACUGAGCAGUGUUUGCUGGCUGGGACACGGCCAGGCUCCAGCCCCAACCAGCACAGUGCCCCUGCAGCUCAUGGCCACGUUUAAGGGGAAUUUGCCUUCACCUGUCCUUGAACCCAGCACUCAGCCCUCAGCCCUGCGGACUCCAAAGCCUGGCUGCCUCCCCACAACGCUCCUCUGCUCCCCACUGAGGAUCUUGUUGCUCUGAAGCGGACAUAUCUCACUCGAGUCCACUUUUGUUCAGGUUUCGUCUGAAAAGCCACGGCUUGCCUCAAAGAAGAGAUGUUCCUCCCUCUCAUAGUUAGGCUGUGGUGGAGCCCUGCUGAUUUCCACUUAUUCCCAGCCCUGGCGUGGGCUGGCCACUUUGUAAGGUUGGCCGUCCCUAGAACAAAAUCAAGCACAGUAUUGCAGAUGACAUUUCCACUGCAUUGUGCAUGGAGUGAUCCACGCACUUGUGGAAUGUUUCACAGAAUUUCACUGAAAUACACCUUUGUGGCCCAGCUACUACAGUUGCCUUCGGUUUUGCAGGCCGAUUAAUUAGCAGCUCCCAGGUAACUGGAAUAAUGUUAUACCUUCUGCUACAGAAGCACACAGCACUCAAUAAAAUCCUACU